rnacentral:rRNA from 1 species
UACGGAAGGGGCAAGCGUUGUUCGGAAUUACUGGGCGUAAAGGGCGCGUAGGCGGCCUGUUAAGUCGAACGUGAAAUCCCCGGGCUCAACCCGGGAACUGCGUCCGAUACUGGCAGGCUUGAAUCCGGGAGAGGGAUGCGGAAUUCCAGGUGUAGCGGUGAAAUGCGUAGAUAUCUGGAGGAACACCGGUGGCGAAGGCGGCAUCCUGGACCGGCAUUGACGCGUGAGGCGCGAAAGCCAGGGGAGCGAACGGG